ensembl:Mt_rRNA
CACAGGUCUGGUCCUAGCCUUACUAUUAAUUCAUAACAAAAUUACACAUGCAAGUAUCAGCACACCAGUGAGAAUGCCCUCUAACUCUUAUAGAUCAAAAGGAGCAAGCAUCAAGUACACACAGCCCUUACAGUAGCUCAUAACGCUUUGCUCAACCACACCCCCACGGGAUACAGCAGUGAUAAAAAUUAAGCAAUAAGCGAAAGCUUGACUAAGUUAUGUUAUUAUAAGGGUUGGUAAAUUUCGUGCCAGCAACCGCGGUCAUACGAUUAACCCAAAUUAAUAGUUAUCGGCGUAAAGCGUGUUUAAGACACCUAGACAAUAGAGUUAAACCCUUACUACGCUGUAAAAAGCCUUAGUAGGACCAUAAACCCUUCAACGAAAGUGACUCUAAUUUAUCUGACUACACGAUAGCUAGGACCCAAACUGGGAUUAGAUACCCCACUAUGCCUAGCCCUAAACUAAAACAGUUCACAAACAAAACUGUUCGCCAGAGUACUACUAGCAACAGCUUAAAACUCAAAGGACUUGGCGGUGCUUUACAUCCUUCUAGAGGAGCCUGUUCUAUAAUCGAUAAACCCCGAUAUACCUCACCACCCCUUGCUAAUACAGCCUAUAUACCGCCAUCUUCAGCAGACCCUAGUAAGGCACCACAGUGAGCACAAUAACAUACAUAAAGACGUUAGGUCAAGGUGUAGCUUAUGGGGUGGGAAGAAAUGGGCUACAUUUUCUAAUAAAGAGCAAAUACAAAAAACUUAAUGAAACAAUUUAAGACUAAGGUGGAUUUAGUAGUAAGCUAAAAAUAGAGAGUUUAGCUGAACCAGGCCAUAAAGCACGCACACACCGCCCGUCACCCUCUUCAAUUAUAAGCGCCACAUAAACUAAAACACAUUAAUUCAGUAGCAACUAUAUAAGAAGAGACAAGUCGUAACAAGGUAAACAUACUGGAAAGUGUGUUUGGAUAAC